rnacentral:rRNA from 1 species
CUGGCUCAGAACGAACGCUGGCGGCGUGCUUAACACAUGCAAGUCGGAUGCGAACGGGCUUUUCGGAGCGCAAGUAGCAUGGCAGACGGGUGAGGAGCACGUACCUGACCUGGCUCUUAAUGGGGGAUAGUCCUUCGAAAGAGGGUUGAAUACCGCAUACGCUCAGGAGGGCGACCUUCUGAGGAAAGCUGGCCUCUGCCGAUGCAGGCUGGUGUUGAGAGGGGGGGGUGCGGCCUAUUAGCUAGUUGGUAGGGUAAGAGCCUACCAAGGCGACGAUGGGUAGCUGGUCUGAGAGGAUGAUCAGCCACACUGGGACUGAGAGACGGCCCAGACUCCUACGGGAGGCAGCAGUGGGGAAUUUUGCGCAAUGGGGGCAACCCUGACGCAGCAACGCCGUGUGAGUGAGGACGCCUUUCGGGGUGUAAAGCUCUGUCAGCAGGGACGAACGUGUCGCGUAGAAGAUGCGCGGGCAUUGACGGUACCUGGUGAGGAAGCCCCGGCUAACUCCGUGCCAGCAGCCGCGGUAAGACGGAGGGGGCAAGCGUUGUUCGGAAUUACUGGGCGUAAAGCGCGCGUAGGCGGCGAGACAAGUGCCGAGUGAAAGCCCUCGGCUUAACCGAGGAAGGGCUUGGCAGACUGUGUGGCUAGAGUUUCGGAGGGGGAGGCGGAAUUCCUGGUGGAGCGGUGAAAUGCGUAGAGAUCAGGAAGAACGUCAGUGGCGAAGGCGGCCUCCUGGACGAGAACUGACGCUUAGGUGCGAGAGCGUGGGGAGCGAACGGGAUUAGAUACCCCGGUAGUCCACGCCGUAAACGCUGGGCACUAGGUGU